GGAUUAGAUACCCUGGUAGUCCACGCCGUAAACGAUGGUUACUCGAUAUUGGCGAUACACAGUCAGUGUCUAAGCGAAAGUGAUAAGUAACCCACCUGGGGAGUACGGUCGCAAGAUUGAAACUCAAAGGAAUUGACGGGGGCCCGCACAAGCGGUGGAGCAUGUGGUUUAAUUCGAUGAUACGCGAGGAACCUUACCAGGGCUUAAAUGCAUAAUGACAGGCUUGGAAACAAGUUUUUCUUCGGACAUUUUGCAAGGUGCUGCAUGGCUGUCGUCAGCUCGUGCCG
rnacentral:rRNA from 1 species